GAUACUCAAUUUAAAGUGAGUAAACAGAAUUCCAUACUCGAUCUCAUAGAUCCCUAUAGAAUUCUGUGGAAAGCCGUAUUCGAUGAAAGUCGUAUGUACGGCUUGGAGGGAGAUCUUUCCUAUCUUUCGAGAUCCACCCUACAAUAUGGGGUCAAAAAGCCAAAAAAAUAA
rnacentral:rRNA from 1 species